ACGAACGCUGGCGGCGUGCUUAACACAUGCAAGUCGAACGGAAAGGCCUCUUUCGGGGGGUACUCGAGUGGCGAACGGGUGAGUAACACGUGAGUAACCUGCCCUUGACUUUGGGAUAACUUCAGGAAACUGGGGCUAAUACCGGAUAGGAGCUCCUGCUGCAUGGUGGGGGUUGGAAAGUUUCGGCGGUUGGGGAUGGACUCGCGGCUUAUCAGCUUGUUGGUGGGGUAGUGGCUUACCAAGGCUUUGACGGGUAGCCGGCCUGAGAGGGUGACCGGCCACAUUGGGACUGAGAUACGGCCCAGACUCCUACGGGAGGCAGCAGUGGGGAAUAUUGCACAAUGGGCGGAAGCCUGAUGCAGCAACGCCGCGUGCGGGAUGACGGCCUUCGGGUUGUAAACCGCUUUCGCCUGUGACGAAGCGUGAGUGACGGUAAUGGGUAAAGAAGCACCGGCUAACUACGUG
rnacentral:rRNA from 1 species